AUUGAACGCUGGCGGCAGGCCUAACACAUGCAAGUCGAACGAGUGGCGGACGUGUGUGUAAUGUCUGGGAAACUGCCUGAUGGAGGGGGAUAACUACUGGAAACGGUAGCUAAUACCGCAUACCAUCGGAUGUGCCCAGAUGGGGCUAGCUAGUAGGUGGGGUAAAGGCUCACAUAGGCGACGAUCCCUAGCUGGUCUGAGAGGAUGACCAGCCACACUGGAAAUGAGACACGGUCCAGACUCCUACGGGAGGCAGGAGUGGGGAAUGUUGCCCAAAGGGCGCAAGCCUGAUGCAGCCAUGCCGCGUGUAGUAAGAAGGCCUUCGGGUUGUAAAGGACUUUCAGCGGGGAGGCGUUACCCGCAGAAGAAGCACCGGCUAACUCCGUGCCAGCAGCCGCGGUAAUAC
rnacentral:rRNA from 1 species